UACCUGGUUGAUCCUACCAGUAGUCAAAUGCUUGUCUCAAAGAUUAAGCCAUGCAUGUGUAUGUAUGAACUAAUUCAAACUGUGAAACUGCAAAAUGGCUCAUGAAAUCAGUUAUUGUUUGUUUAAUGGUAUGUGCUACUCGGAUAAUCAUAGUAAUUCUAGAUCUAAUACGUGCAACAAACUCCGACAUGUGGAAAGGAUGCAUUUAUUAGAUAAAAGAUCGAUGUGGACUCUGCCUGUUGCUUUGAUUAUUGAUGAUAACUCAACGAAUCGCACAACCAUUGUGCCGGUAAUGCAUCAUUCAAAUUCCUGCCUUAUCAACUUUCGAUGGUAGGAUAGUGGCCUACUAUGGUAGUGACGGGCGACGGAGAAAUAGGGUUCGAUAUCAGAGAAGGAGCCUGAGAAAAGGUUACCACAUCCAAGGAAGGCAACAGACGUGCAAAUUACCCAAUCUUGACUCGAGGAGUUAGUGAUAAUAAAUAACAAUACCAUGCUCUUCGAGUCUGGUAAUUGGAAUGAGUAUGAUCUAAAUCGCUUAACGAGGAUCAAUUGGAGGGAAAAUCUGGUGCCUACAGUCGUGGUAAUUUCAGCUCUAAUAGCGUAUAUUUAAGUUGUUGCAGUUAAAAAGCUCGUAGUUGGAGCUUGGGUUGGGUCGAUCGGUUCGCCUAUGGUAAGCAUCGGUCUGCUCGUCCUUUCUAUCGACGAUGCACUCCUCGCCUUAACUAACUGAGUCAUGCCUCCGGUGCUAUUACAUUGAAGAAAUUAUAGUGCUCAAAGCAAGCCUACUGUCACAUGGUUUGAUCUGAAGCUAACCGAACAUGUGGCACUUGGCUAAAUAAUACACCUGAAUUAGCCAUGUAAGCCUUUUAUGAAGUUUAGUGCACCAAGCACUAACGAUGAAUGUGCAGUGGAAGUAUUUGACAUGCUUGAUGGGCAAGAGAGAGUCUAGGCGAAUGAGGGAGCUACGCUUAGCACUUCCUUGGAAUUAUUCCCUUUAGUCCAAGAAUGAUAAAUUAAAAUGCAUUACAUUGGGUUAUCCUUUGCCAGGAUAUUGCCAUUUGCAAAGGAUGAGGUAAGGUUUCCUUGGUUGGCUUGGACAUGCCAAGUACCAAGGUUGAUUACAAAUGAGCCCCAACCUUUACUUCUAUUUAUAACCUCCACAACUGACCUAGGUGCUUAGAAGGUCGAUUGAGGAGCUACUAGAACAUCCAAGGCGGUUUGGCUUCUUACAAUUGACUCUAAAACAUUAUAGGCCUACCAUGACACUUUUGACCAUCAUCACAUCCUUCUAAAUCGUCAUGGAAGCUUCUGGAUGUGUCUGGAUGGUGCUAGGCUAGGCGUACACCGACAUAUGCUAUCAUGGUCUUUUCCACGCAUUCCAGCCCCAUAAUGGGCGUUUGCAGACCUUUGGAUUCUUCCCAUCCAUCAUCCAAAGUUCUAUAGACGUUUAGGAUCAUCUGGGCCUUGGGUAGGCAUGGGCGCGUGUAUGGACUGCGCGCUUGCUCAGGGGUGGGCAUGCGUUGUGCUGCACGUACCAUGUAUCUGUAGCCUUUUAGGGGUGCGCACACAUGAUGCCGUGCAUACCUUUUCUGGGCGAGCAUGGGCGGUGUUGAGUGGGCGGGCUUGCAUGUCCGCGUGCAUGUAAGGCUGGUCACCUGGCCAUGCACAUAUGCCCGUGCGCAUUGGCUGUACUAGGCACUAGUGCUGGGGACUUAUGGUCGUAUCAAUGGGCAUUUGAGCGUGUCAUGGGGCCGUGCAUGUGGGGAUGUGCACCUGGGCUAUCUUAGGCAUUCGACGUGGCAUGUAGCGGGCCAGUGAGCUGUCCUCGAGAGGCACACGCCAGUGUCAUGGGCAGGUGUGGCCACCCACGGGCUAUCUUGGGGCCACAUUGGGGCUCCUUUGUGCCCAUCCCAAAGGAGUUAUGGGCACAUAACAUCGUAAAUUUGGGGGUGAUUUCGGUUUCGUUUCACGGGAUGUGACACUACACUCUGUAUACAUUAACAUGGGAUAACAUCAUAUGAUUUCAAUCCUAUUUUAUUGGCCUUCGGGAUCGGAGUAAUGAUUAACAGGAACAGUCGGGGGCAUUUGUAUUUCAUAGUAAAAGGUGAAAUUCUUGGAUUUAUGAAAGACGAUAAUUGCGAAAGCAUUUGCCAAGUAUGUUUUCAUUAUUCAAGAACGAAAGUUGGGGGAUCGAAGAUGAUCAGAUACCGUCCUAGUCUUAACCAUAAACGAUGUUAACCAUGGAUUGGCAGAUGUUGCUUUAAGGACUCCGUUAGCACCUUAUGAAAAAUCAAAGUCUUUGGGUUCCGGGGGAGUAUGGUCGCAAGGCUAAAAUUUAAAGGAAUUGACGGAAGGGCACCACUAGAAGUGGAGCCUACGACAUAAUUUGACUCAACACGGGAAAACUUACCAAGUUCAGACAUAGUCAGGAUUAAUAGACUGAGAGCUCUUUCUUGAUUCUAUGGGUGGUGGUGCAUGAUCGUUCUUAGUUGGUGGAACGAUUUGUCUGAUUAAUUUCGUUAACGAACGGAACCUCAGCCCGUCAAACAGUACCCCUCCGCGACCAGCUUCUUAGAGGGACUAUGGCCAUUUAGGCUAAGGAAGUUUAAGGCAAUAACAGAUUUGUGAUGCGCAUAGAUGUUCUGGGCCACACACGCGCUACACAGAUGUAUUCAACGAGUCUAUAGCCUUGGCCUACAGGUCCAGAUAAUCUUUGAAAUUUCAUCGUGAUGGGGAUAGAUCAUUGCAAUUGUUGGUCUUCAAUGAGGAAUUCCUAGUAAGCGCGAGUCAUCAGCUCGCGUUGGCUACGUCCCUGUCCUUUGUACACACCGCCUGUCACUCCUACAAAUUGAAUGGUUCGGUAGAGUGUUCGAAUUGCGGUGACGUAGGCAGUUCGCUGCCUGUGAUGUUGCGAGAAGUCCACUAAACCUUAUCAUUUAGACGAUGGAGAAGUCGUAACAAGGUUUUCAUAGGUGAACAUGCAGAAGGAUCAUUG
rfam:Cucumis melo, WGS project CAJI01000000 data, contig: 17889